GCACUGGUGGUUCAGUGGUAGAAUUCUCACCUCCCACGCGAGGGACCCGGGUUCAAUUCUCGGCCAGUGCA
rnacentral:tRNA from 1 species